rnacentral:rRNA from 1 species
UACGGAGGAUGCGAGCGUUAUCCGGAUUUAUUGGGUUUAAAGGGUGCGCAGGCGGCACGUUAAGUCAGCGGUGAAAUGUCGGGGCUCAACCCCGUCACUGCCGUUGAAACUGGCGAGCUCGAGUACGGAUGAAGUGGGCGGAAUGUGAUGUGUAGCGGUGAAAUGCUUAGAUAUGUCACAGAACACCGAUUGCGAAGGCAGCUCACUAAUCCGCAACUGACGCUCAUGCACGAAAGCGUGGGGAU